CCUACGGGAGGCAGCAGUAAGGAAUAUUGGUCAAUGGGCGCAAGCCUGAACCAGCCAUGCCGCGUGCAGGAAGACGGCCCUAUGGGUUGUAAACUGCUUUUGAACAAGAGAAAACCUCGGUACGUGUACCGAGCUGAUAGUAUUGUUAGAAUAAGCAUCGGCUAACUUCGUGCCAGCAGCCGCGGCAAGACGAAGGAUGCAAGCGUUAUCCGGAUUCAUUGGGUUUAAAGGGUGCGUAGGCGGCCUGAUAAGUCAGUGGUGAAAUCUCUCAGCUUAACUGAGAAACUGCCAUUGAUACUGUCGGGCUUGAGUACAGAUGAUGUGGGCGGAAUAUGACAUGUAGUGGUGAAAUACUUAGAUAUGUCAUAGAACACCGAUUGCGAAGGCAGCUCACAAAACUGUAAACUGACGCUGAGCGACGAAGUAGCGGGAGUACAACAGAGUAGAUACCUACGUAGUCGCACCGUAACGAUGUAUACUCGUUGUUGUCG
rnacentral:rRNA from 1 species